ensembl:snRNA U6 U6 spliceosomal RNA
GUAGUCUCAUUUGGGCAGCACAUAUACUAAAACUGGAAUGAUACAGACAAGAUUAGCAUGGUGCCUGCAGAAGGAUGACAUGCAAAUUCAUGAAGCGUUCUAUUAAAAA